rnacentral:lncRNA from 10 species
GUGGUGGCUUUCAUGCGCGUCCGUGUGAAGAGACCACCAAACAGGCUUUGUGUGAGCAAUAAAGCUGUUUAUUUCACCUGGGUGCAGGUGGGCUGAGUCCGAAAAGAGUCAGCGAAGGGAGAUAGGGGUGGGGCUGUUUUAUAGUAUUUGGGAAGGUAAUGGAAAAUUACAGUCAAAGGGCGGGCAGGAGUGGGGGGUCGCAAGGUGCUCAGUGGGGGUGCUUCUGAGCCAGGAGAAGGAAAUUUGCAGGGUUAAUCACUCAGUUAAGGUGGGGCAGGAACAAAUCACAAUGGUGGAAUGUCAUCAGUUAAGGCGGGGCAGGGCCUUUUCACUUCUUUUGUGAUUCUUCAGUUACUUCAGGCCAUCUGGGUGUAUAUGUGCAAGGCACAGGGGAUGCGAUGGCUUGGCUUGGGCUCAGAGGCCUGACAGUGGCACACGCCUGUAAUCCCAGCUACUUGGGAGCCUGAGGCAGGAGAAUCACUUGAACCCAGGAGGUGCAGGGUGCAGUGAGCCGAGAUCGCCCCACUGCACUCCAGCCUGGGCAACAGAGACUCCAUCUCAAAAAAACAAAAAAAAAAGCACAGGUCCCCUCCCUCAGUCCUGCAGACUUCCUCAAGCUGGGAAGGACCAAGGAUUUUGGGAAAUAACUCCACCGGCUUACAGACAGUGCACCCCAGGACAAAGAGUCAUGGUGUAAAUUUUAAUUAUCCUUUGUAGAGGCUUCAAAAAAAAAAAAAUCUAGAGUGCAGAGGUUCAGUCUGGUCCACACAGUUCUGAAUGCCUUUUAAUUAUCAUCACACACACCAGAGAAGGUCAUCUUAGAAUAUUUAAUCAGUUAGCACUAGAUGAAGGCUGGAGUAGGAGAGACUGGGAUAGUGGGGGGCAAUGUGGGGAUGGAGGCAGGGCGAGGGAGAUAAAGUCAAACUGGUUUUUUUUUUGUUUUUUUUUUUUUUUUUUUUUGGAGACAGAGCCUUACUCUGUCGCCCAGGCUGGAGUGCAAUGGUGUGAUCUCAGCUCACUGCAACCUCUGCCUCCUGGGUUUAAUCGAUUCUCCUGCCUCAGCCUCCCAAGUAGCUGGGAUUACAGGCACCCACCACCAUGCCCAGCUAAUUUAUUUGUAUUUUUUUAGUAGAGACAGGGUUUCACCAUGUUGGCCAGGCUGGUCUCGAACUCCUGACCUCAGGUGAUCCACCCGCCUCGGUCUCCCAAAGUGCUGGGAUUAUAGGGGUGAGCCACCGUGCCCAGCUAAGAUAUUUCAAUCUGUGAAUAACCCAUAUGGCCUGGUAACAGCAAGCACCUGGGAAUAUAUACAUAUAACCCACAUACGGACUGUCCCGUUCACUCCUCACAACCACUCUGCUAACAUACUACCAUCACAGAAAGUUCCAGUGGAGAACACUGCUACAUAUCUGCCUGUUUUAGUUAGAAGCCAACAUUUUAUUUUUAUUUUAUUUUAUUUUUUGAGAUGGAGUUUCGCUGCUGUUGCCCAGGCUGGAGUGCAAUGGUGCGAUCUCGGCUCACCACAACCUCCGCCUCCCAGGUUCAAGCAAUUCUCCUGCCUCAGCCUCCUGAGUAGCUGGGAUCACAGGCAUGCUCCACCACGCCCAGCUAAUUUUGUAUUUUUAGUAGAGAUGGGGUUUCU